UCCGGUUGGUCACCGGCAGUCUGGCGUGAGUCCCCAACUUAAUGCUGGCAACACGCCACGGGGGUUGCGCUCGUUGCGGGACUUAACCCAACAUCUCACGACACGAGCUGACGACAGCCAUGCAGCAUCUGUGGUGCACCCUCGAAGGUCACACGUUUCCGUGCGCUUGCAGCACCAUGUCAAGCCCAGGUAAGGUUCUUCGCGUUGCAUCGAAUUAAAGAACAUGCUCCGCUGCUUGUGCGGGCCCCCGUCAAUUCUUUUGAGUUUUAGCCUUGCGGCCGUACUCCCCAGGCGGGGCGCUUAAUGCGUUAGCUGCGGCACGGACAACGUGGAAUGUUGCCCACACCUAGUGUUCAUCGUUUACGGCUAGGACUAC
rnacentral:misc_RNA from 1 species